rnacentral:hammerhead_ribozyme from 1 species
AUCCAUUUGAAGUGUCCCAAAUAAGACGAAACGCGAGUCCUGGAU